UACAGAGGGUGCAAGCGUUGUUCGGAUUCAUUGGGCGUAAAGGGUGCGUAGGUGGCGCCGUAAGUCGGGUGUGAAAUUUCGGAGCUUAACUCCGAAACUGCAUUCGAUACUGCGGUGCUUGAGGACUGGAGAGGAGACUGGAAUUCAUGGUGUAGCAGUGAAAUGCGUAGAGAUCAUGAGGAAGACCAGUGGCGAAGGCGGGUCUCUGGGACAGUUCCUGACACUGAGGCACGAAGGCCAGGGGGAGGCAAAACGGG
rnacentral:rRNA from 1 species